UAUACGACCGUACCGCAAACCGACACUGGUGCGCGAGAUGAGUAUUCUAAGGCGCUUGAGAGAACUCAGGAGAAGGAACUCGGCAAAUUGACACCGUAACUUCGGAAGAAGGUGUGCCCUAUUAGUGUGUAGUGAACAACGAAGCAUGAAUGGGUUGCAAAAAAUCGGUGGCUGCGACUGUUUAUUAAAAACACAGCACUCUGCAAACACGAAAGUGGACGUAUAGGGUGUGACGCCUGCCCGGUGCUGGAAGAUUAAAUGAUGGGGUGCAAGCUCUUGAUUGAAGUCCCAGUAAACGGCGGCCGUAACCAUAACGGUCCUAGGGUAGCGAAAUUCCUUGUCGGGUAAGUUCCGACCUGCACGAAUGGCGUAACGAUGGCCACACUGUCUCCUCCUGAGACUCAGCGAAGUUGAAAUGUUUGUGAUGAUGCAAUCUCCCCGCGGAAAGACGGAAAGACACCAUGAACCUUUACUGUAGCUUUGUAUUGGACUUUGAACAGAUCUGUGUAGGAUAGGUGGGAGGCUUUGAAGCAGGGUCGCUAGAUCUUGUGGAGCCAACGUUGAAAUACCACCCUGGUGUGUUUGAGGUUCUAACCUAGGUCCAUUAUCUGGAUCGGGGACAGUGCAUGGUAGGCAGUUUGACUGGGGCGGUCUCCUCCCAAAGCGUAACGGAGGAGUUCGAAGGUACGCUAGUUACGGUCGGACAUCGUGACGAUAGUGCAAUGGCAUAAGCGUGCUUAACUGCGAGACUGACAAGUCGAGCAGAUGCGAAAGCAGGACAUAGUGAUCCGGUGGUUCUGUAUGGAAGGGCCAUCGCUCAACGGAUAAAAGGUACUCUGGGGAUAACAGGCUGAUACCGCCCAAGAGUUCAUAUCGACGGCGGUGUUUGGCACCUCGAUGUCGGCUCAUCUCAUCCUGGGGCUGUAGCCGGUCCCAAGGGUAUGGCUGUUCGCCAUUUAAAGAGGUACGUGAGCUGGGUUUAAAACGUCGUGAGACAGUUUGGUCCCUAUCUUCCGUGGGCGCUGCAGAUUUGAGGAAGCCUGCUCCUAGUACGAGAGGACCGGAGUGGACACACCUCUGGUGUAUCGGUUGUCACGCCAGUGGCAUUGCCGAGUAGCUAAGUGUGGAAGAGAUAACCGCUGAAAGCAUCUAAGCGGGAAACUCGUUUCAAGAUGAGAUCUGCCGGGGCCUUGAGCCCCCUAAAGAGUCGUUCAAGACCAGGACGUUGAUAGGUCAGGUGUGGAAGCGGG
rnacentral:rRNA from 1 species